GUUCUGUAGGUGAACCUGCGGAAGGAUCAUUAUUGUAUAACCGAGGUGCGAGGGCUGUCGCUGACCCGAAAGGUCGUGCACGCCCGAGUGCCCUCACACACAUCCAUCUCACCCCUAUGUGCACCACCGCGUGGGUCCCCCUUUGGCUUGUUCGGAGGGGGGCUUACGUUUUCACACAAACUUUGUAUGCAGUGUAGAAUGUAUUUUUUGUUUUUGCGAUCACGCAAUCAAUACAACUUUCAACAACGGAUCUCUUGGCUCUC
rnacentral:misc_RNA from 1 species